rnacentral:rRNA from 1 species
AUUGAACGCUGGCGGCAUGCCUUACACAUGCAAGUCGAACGGCAGCGGGGGAGAAGCUUGCUUUUCCUGCCGGCGAGUGGCGAACGGGUGAGUAAUACAUCGGAACGUGCCCUGUAGUGGGGGAUAACUAGUCGAAAGAUUAGCUAAUACCGCAUACGACCUGAGGGUGAAAGUGGGGGACCGCAAGGCCUCAUGCUAUAGGAGCGGCCGAUGUCUGAUUAGCUAGUUGGUGGGGUAAAGGCCUACCAAGGCGACGAUCAGUAGCUGGGCUGAGAGGACGAUCAGCCAAACUGGGGCUGGGACACGGCCCAGACUCCUACGGGAGGCAGCAGUGGGGAAUUUUGGACAAUGGCGAAAGCCUGAUCCAGCAAUGCCGCGUGUGUGAAGAAGGCCUUCGGGUUGUAAAGCACUUUUGUCCGGAAAGAAAUGGCUCUGGUUAAUACCUGGGGUCGAUGACGGUACCGGAAGAAUAAGGACCGGCUAACUACGUGCCAGCCGCCGCCGUAA